AGUGAACGCUGGCGGUAGGCCUAACACAUGCAAGUCGAACGGCAGCACAGUAAGAGCUUGCUCUUACGGGUGGCGAGUGGCGGACGGGUGAGGAAUACAUCGGAAUCUACUUUUUCGUGGGGGAUAACGUAGGGAAACUUACGCUAAUACCGCAUACGACCUACGGGUGAAAGCAGGGGAACUUCGGACCUUGCGCGAUUGAAUGAGCCGAUGUCGGAUUAGCUAGUUGGCGGGGUAAAGGCCCACCAAGGCGACGAUCCGUAGCUGGUCUGAGAGGAUGGUCAGCCACACUGGAACUUGGACACGGUCCAGACUCCUACGGGAGGCAGCAGUGGGGAAUAUUGGACAAUGGGCGCAAGCCUGAUCCAGCCAUACCGCGUGUGUGAAGAAGGCCUUCGGGUUGUAAAGCCCUUUUGUUGGGAAAGAAAAGCAGCAGGUUAAUACCCCGCUGUUCUGACGGUACCCAAAGAAUAAGCACCGGCUAACUUCGUG
rnacentral:rRNA from 1 species